rnacentral:rRNA from 1 species
UGGGGAAUAUUGGACAAUGGGCGAAAGCCUGAUCCAGCCAUGCCGCGUGUGUGAAGAAGGUCUUCGGAUUGUAAAGCACUUUAAGUUGGGAGGAAGGGCAGUAACCUAAUACGUUUCUGUCUUGACGUUACCGACAGAAUAAGCACCGGCUAACUCUGUGCCAGCAGCCGCGGUAAUACAGAGGGUGCAAGCGUUAAUCGGAAUUACUGGGCGUAAAGCGCGCGUAGGUGGUUUGUUAAGUUGGAUGUGAAAUCCCCGGGCUCAACCUGGGAACUGCAUUCAAAACUGACAAGCUAGAGUAUGGUAGAGGGUGGUGGAAUUUCCUGUGUAGCGGUGAAAUGCGUAGAUAUAGGAAGGAACACCAGUGGCGAAGGCGACCACCUGGACUGAUACUGACACUGAGGUGCGAAAGCGUGGGGAGCAAACAGGAUUAGAUACCCCAGUAGUCCCUGAGCGGGCUGGCAAGGCGCAU